UGGCUUCAGCUGCUGAGGAAAUUGCUAAACUUUGAGGAACAGCUGUGAGAAGGCUGGUGAAACAGAGCCAGAGAGGUGAAGCAGCAAAAUUACAGGCUGACGUGGGCUUUUUGGUGAUUCAAGGAUUAAAAGGAGCAAAGGGAAAUGUAUGAAAUGUUAGCUGAAUAGAAUAGGGAUUUCAUGAAAGGUAGUCAUGUAGCAAUAAUAAGGUUCUAUUGCUCCAGCCAGUGAAAGCUAACAUUUAUUUCACAGGCUUUUUUUCCUGUUUGGCCAGCAAAGAUUCUUUGGGUGUUUUAUGAGCCUGGUCAUGCCUGAGCCAGCUGAGGAGGAGAGAGAGGUUGUACCUUGUUUAAGAUUAACAGAACAAAAUUUGCCUGUCCUGGCAAGGAGACUAUAGCAAGCUGGCAGGUGAGCAAGCAGAACAGACUGAGAGGACAAGAGCCAGCCACAAGCAGAGGAAGUCAUUUUGUCAGACUUGAGAACCGAUAGACCUGUUAAACUGAAAUAUCAGCCUUCCAACAGCAAGCACUAGCUAUAAGCUGAACUAUUUCAGUAACUGUAAACAUAAUAAAAAUCCUCGUGAUGAAUCUCUGAAAAGUUCAUUUGAUGAAACUCAUAAGAAAUACAUUGAAUUCCAAGGAAUGAGUAAUCCUGCAUUACUGCUGAGAGAAAUCAUCCUUGUGAAUCAAGUCCAUAUGCAUACUACCUACUUUACUAGCAUCUUUAGCUUGCUAUGUGGUUGCUUGCUUUUUCUGUUGAGUGAAUGUUUCUUUAUGGAUCAUGUGGAGCUCUGUUAAACUAUGAAGAGCUGAGAUUACUGAAAGUUGCUCCCAUACCUAAAGAGGUGAAGAACUGAUCUUUUUUCCUACUGGAGUAAGGGAAAAAUAUUUAAACUACUGCUGUUUUACCUCAAGGUCAGUAACACUUAGAUGAGCUUCCAUGCAAUAGUCUAGAAAAAGAUGUAUGAAUUAAGACAGGUUAAGCCGGUCCUUGAAUCAUUCUAACAGAAUUCUAAUUGUCAUUUGAAUCGAUCC